UACGAAGGGUGCAAGCGUUACUCGGAAUUACUGGGCGUAAAGCGUGCGUAGGUGGUGAGUUAAGUCUGUCGUGAAAGCCCCGGGCUCAACCUGGGAAUGGCGAUGGAUACUGGCUCGCUAGAGUGCGGUAGAGGAGAGUGGAAUUCCCGGUGUAGCAGUGAAAUGCGUAGAGAUCGGGAGGAACAUCAGUUGCGAAGGCGGCUCUCUGGACCAGCACUGACACUGGAGCACGAAAGCGUGGGGAGCAAACAGG
rnacentral:rRNA from 1 species